CCUACGGGAGGCAGCAGUGAGGAAUAUUGGUCAAUGGCCGGAAGGCUGAACCAGCCAUGCCGCGUGAAGGUCAGUGCCCUAUGGGCGUUAAACUUCUUUUGUGCGGGAGCAAUAAUGGUCACGUGUGGCCAGACGAGAGUACCGUACGAAUAAGCAUCGGCUAACUCCGUGCCAGCAGCCGCGGUAAUACGGGGGAUGCAAGCGUUAUCCGGGUUUAUUGGGUUGAAAGGGUGCGUAGGCUGUGAGGUAAGUCAGCGGUGAAAUGCCCCCGCUCAACGGGGUGAAGUGCCAUUGAUACUGCCUGGCUGGAAUGCGGAUGCCGUGGGAGGAAUGUGUGGUGUAGCGGUGAAAUGCAUAGAUAUCACACAGAACACCGAUUGCGAAGGCAUCUCACGAAUCCGCGAUUGACGCUGAUGCACGAAAGCGUGGGUAUCAAACAGGAUUAGAUACCCCUGUAGUC
rnacentral:rRNA from 1 species